CUUACAGCCAUAAUGCUGGCAGAGCAUCAAGGGAGAUGUAGUCCACAACAUCUAGAGGGCCUAAGGUUUCCCCACUCCUGCACUAAAGUAAGAAUUCAAAGUAAACUGAGGCCAAAAUAGUCAAAUUGGAAGAAUGCUUGAAGUAGUGUUUCCAGUUUGGCCUACACCAUGAAAUGUCACUAUUGAAGGGGGAAAAAACUUGAUGUCUCAAUGCUUUGAUUACCACAUCACAAAUUAGCCCAACAGUUUGUAUGCAUAUUUAAUUUUGAGAUUUGUUCACUGAAUUGUGUAUUCAGGGCCAGCUAGGUGUCUCCACAAUUACUGACUCAGUUGAUAAUGUGAUUUGAACACUUGUAUUCAUGAAUAAUUUCCAUGUUCUCUUGUACUCUGCCGUUCUUUACAUUUUCCAUUAAUUUUGCCGUUCAGGCAAUUCUAUUUAAUCCCUUAAGGACCAAACUUCUGGAGUAAAAGUGAAUCAUGACAUGUCAUGUGUCCUUAAGGGGUUAAACAUGCAAUAUAAGAAGAUCAGUGCUGGGAGUUUGUGAAUUACUAAAAUACUUAAACGGACCUUAUAGUCACCAGAACUGCAGCUUAAUGUAGUUCUUGUGAGUAUAGUCAGUCCCUGCAAACAUUAGUGCUUACAUUGCUGCCUAGGGACACCUCCACUGGUUGUCAGACGGCCACUAUAGGAGCUUGCUGGGUCAGUGCUGCAUAACAUUGAACAUUCCCCAUGGGAAAGCAUUGAUUCAAUGUAUCCUCUGAGGAAAUGCUGAUUGGCCAGUGUGGUGUUUAGCUCUACCACCGCCUUAACUCUUUGACUGACAUCUUCAGAAUUGAUGACCAAUUUGAUGCUUUCCCAUAGGAAAGACCCCUUCAAUUAAUAAAUAGAUACCACCUCCCCCCCCCCCAAAACAACUCGUCUUGUAGGUAUAUCUAGACAGCAGGAAAAGCAAACCCCAAUUUUUGGCAGGUAAGUAAGCAGGCAUUCACGGGUGGAUUGGAACACGGUGUGCUGCCUGCGGCUGAGGAGGUUGAGUCAUAGUGGUUCCAGCUCUCUAUUUUUUUUUUUUCUUCUUAGUGGAAAGCACUGGCGUUCCACCUUCUUAAUCAUGUCGGGUGCUGUGUAAGUGCCUGAUGUGCGCAGGCUGGGAGCUCCUGGUGAUGGAACACACUGGUUGCGUUUUACUGGGAGACUGCAAAACAUUAUGCACAAAGCCAUCUCUGAUUUCUGAUGUAAAAAUGUUCGUUUUCAAACAUUCCAGGACAUUGGAGUUGAAAACCCAGCAGAAACUUCCUGUUUGUCGUAUUUUUUGUGGGCAGUUUUUAACACUAGAGUCACGAAUCCUAUAUUCCUAUAGUGUUCCUUUAAAGCGACCAGGUUUACAAAGUGUAGCUUGAAUAUGUUGUAAGUUGCUUGCAUAAGCCCCACAUGACUAUCUGCAAGACUGAGUUCUGUCUUUUAGUCACUGGCCUUCGCAUACAAAUAGUAUUUUCCUUUUUUUUUUUUCUUAAACAUUAGCCAGUGCACGUUACAAAAUAUAGCCUUUAUAGUAUAUAUUUUUAUAUAAAACUAGACAAAUCAGUAUAAAUGCAGAGUAUUGUGAAUAUUCCAAGGAACACACUCGAAGCAUCAAAAUUACUCCAGUGCUCUAUAGUUGUUAUGGUGCCAGGAGUACCCUGUUGUCCCCAAUGUACAUCGUCAAACCGCUUACCUGAUUUCUGCUGGUCACCAUUACUGUGAGAGUUGGAAGUUCUCUGUUAAAUAGUAGCUCACCACUCAGUGGAGUAAAAAGUUGAAGUCUCGGACUGGAAUGGAAGUGAAGGCACCAGAUGGAAGCCUUGCUUUAACUGCGGAAGAUAAGCCAGCGUCUGGGACCGCUUUGCUUAAUCAUUUCAUUUUGUUUAUGGUGCCUGAAGUGGUCCUUUAAAUGUUAAAAAAAACAGUAAGGAUGGUUGGUGAGAAGAAGAGAAUUGUUUUUUCUUAAUUUUACUGAUGUGCACAUGGACUAACAGUUUACAUAGUGAAAAGAAAAUAUCUACACUCAAAACGUGCACAAAACUGAACUCAAAUACUUAUUUUCUACAUUUAAAAUCUGGGCUAGGACUUCAAAACAGGGGUGGCCACAAACACGAUGUCGUUUAAACUCUACUGCUCCAGUCUAAUGUGAAACACUAGCAUGAGCGGUGAUUAUCUGACGGUGUUAUACAAGAUACCCUGUGAGCGGUGAUUACUAUUAUAUGACGGUGUAAUACAUGAUACCCUGUGAGCGGUGAUUACUAUUAUAUGACGGUGUAAUACAUGAUACCCUGUGAGCGGUGAUUACUAUUAUAUGACGGUGUAAUACAUGAUACCCUGUGAGCGGUGAUUACUAUUAUAUGACGGUGUAAUACAUGAUACCCUGUGAGCGGUGAUUACUAUUAUAUGACGGUGUAAUACAUGAUACCCUGUGAGCGGUGAUUACUAUUAUAUGACGGUGUAAUACAUGAUACCCUGUGAGCGGU